CAGUCAAACAAACAGCUUGAUAAGGAUUGGUCUUGUGGGCUGGGGAUCACAGUGAUGCUGUGUAAUGACAACUUUGGAAGUGAUGGGGAAUCUACCCAGCUGGCACACGACCGACCUUCAACGUUGAUAUUUGGUUGAAAUUAUGUACGUUCAUGGUUCAACGUUUAUCCAACAUUGAAACAAUGUUUAAUGCUAAAUGGUUGUAAAAGAUGCACUCUCUCACACAACAACUGGAUUAAAGAAAAGGGAUAAUCUCGCGAGAUUCCAGACUGGACUGCAGAGUCAACUCGUCUCGUGCUAGGGCUCUGGUUUCGCGCGGGUAGUCAGAAGCAUGAACGGUCUCAGCGGAAAGAAAACACACAUUUCUAAGAUGCUGUCAUCAACACUCACAACACAACCCAAUCAAAUAUUCAAGGAGUUAUAUCCAGAUAUUUGAAAUAUGCACCAGAAAGGAUGGGUGGUGGUGGCCGUAAGAAAGCAAUAAAAAAUGUUUA